GGGAAGGGUGUAAACGUGCCCCUGCAGAAAAGCCUGAGGACAUGGAGUUCCAGGUGCCUUCCAGUGACAGCGAGGGUCUGACCUACAUGGAGCUGCAAGCUGUG